GGGCCUUAGCUCAGCUGGGAGAGCGCCUGCUUUGCACGCAGGAGGUCAGCGGUUCGAUCCCG
rnacentral:tRNA from 1 species